rnacentral:rRNA from 1 species
UAUCAGCUUGUUGGUGGGGUAAUGGCCUACCAAGGCGACGACGGGUAGCCGGCCUGAGAGGGCGACCGGCCACACUGGGACUGAGACACGGCCCAGACUCCUACGGGAGGCAGCAGUGGGGAAUAUUGCACAAUGGGCGGAAGCCUGAUGCAGCGACGCCGCGUGAGGGAUGACGGCCUUCGGGUUGUAAACCUCUUUCAGCAGGGACGAAGCGAGAGUGACGGUACCUGCAGAAGAAGCGCCGGCCAACUACGUGCCAGCAGCCGCGGUAA